ACGAACGCUGGCGGCGUGCUUCACACCUGCAAGUCGAACGGUGAAGCGAGUGCUUGCACUCGUGGAUCAGUGGCGAACGGGUGAGUAACACGUGAGUAACCUGCCCAUCACUCUGGGAUAAGCACUGGAAACGGUGCCUAAUACUGGAUACGACCAACCCUUGCAUGGGGUGUUGGUGGAAAGAUUUAUCGGUGAUGGAUGGACUCGCGGCCUAUCAGCUUGUUGGCGGGGUAAUGGCCCACCAAGGCGACGACGGGUAGCCGGCCUGAGAGGGUGACCGGCCACACUGGGACUGAGACACGGCCCAGACUCCUACGGGAGGCAGCAGUGGGGAAUAUUGCACAAUGGGCGAAAGCCUGAUGCAGCGACGCCGCGUGAGGGAUGACGGCCUUCGGGUUGUAAACCUCUUUCAGCAGGGAAGAAGCGAAAGUGACGGUACCUGCAGAAGAAGCACCGGCUAACUACGUG
rnacentral:rRNA from 1 species